rnacentral:rRNA from 1 species
GCUUAACGCGAAGAACCUUACCAGGCCUUGACAUCCCGGUCGCGGCCCCUUGAAAGAGGGGCUUUCAGUUCGGCUGGACCGGUGACAGGUGCUGCAUGGCUGUCGUCAGCUCGUGUCGUGAGAUGUUGGGUUAAGUCCCGCAACGAGCGCAACCCUCGCCCUUAGUUGCCAUCAUUAAGUUGGGCACUCUAAGGGGACUGCCGGUGAUAAGCCGCGAGGAAGGUGGGGAUGACGUCAAGUCCUCAUGGCCCUUACGGCCUGGGCUACACACGUGCUACAAUGGUGGUGACAAUGGGCAGCAAUGGCGCGAGCCGGAGCUAAUCUCAAAAAGCCGUCUCAGUUCGGACUGCACUCUGCAACUCGGGUGCAUGAAGUUGGAAUCGCUAGUAAUCGUGGAUCAGCAUGCCACGGUGAAUACGUUCCCGGGUCUUGUACACACCG